rnacentral:rRNA from 1 species
AGAGUUUGAUCCUGGCUCAGGACGAACGCUGGCGGCGUGCUUAACACAUGCAAGUCGAACGGAAAGGCCCUUCGGGGUACUCGAGUGGCGAACGGGUGAGUAACACGUGGGUGAUCUGCCCUGCACUUUGGGAUAAGCCUGGGAAACUGGGUCUAAUACCGAAUAUGACCAUGCGCCUCCUGGUGUGUGGUGGAAAGCUUUUGCGGUGUGGGAUGGGCCCGCGGCCUAUCAGCUUGUUGGUGGGGUAAUGGCCUACCAAGGCGACGACGGGUAGCCGGCCUGAGAGGGUGACCGGCCACACUGGGACUGAGAUACGGCCCAGACUCCUACGGGAGGCAGCAGUGGGGAAUAUUGCACAAUGGGCGCAAGCCUGAUGCAGCGACGCCGCGUGAGGGAUGACGGCCUUCGGGUUGUAAACCUCUUUCAGCACAGACGAAGCGCAAGUGACGGUAUGUGCAGAAGAAGGACCGGCCAACUACGUGCCAGCAGCCGCGGUAAUACGUAGGGUCCGAGCGUUGUCCGGAAUUACUGGGCGUAAAGAGCUCGUAGGUGGUUUGUCGCGUUGUUCGUGAAAACUCACAGCUUAACUGUGGGCGUGCGGGCGAUACGGGCAGACUUGAGUACUGCAGGGGAGACUGGAAUUCCUGGUGUAGCGGUGGAAUGCGCAGAUAUCAGGAGGAACACCGGUGGCGAAGGCGGGUCUCUGGGCAGUAACUGACGCUAAGGAGCGAAAGCGUGGGGAGCGAACAGGAUUAGAUACCCUGGUAGUCC